GAGACGAAGAGAGGACCUUGUCAUGCUAGCUGUGUGUAGGUGUGUGUUCUGUGUGAGAAAAAGAGGGGGAGAGAGAUUACGAAUAACUAAUAGAAAAGAUUGUAAUCAUGUCAACAUUGUGUCAUGCUAGCUGAGAGAGAGAGAGAGAGACAUUACAACUCUCAACUGCCUUUUUCAAUUUCUGAAUCUUCUAGCUUGGAUGGGAGGAAGGAACAACGGGAAGUUAUCCAGCCUGCCGACCAAGAGAUUUCCUGAAACAUAUCAAUGACCUGAUGCAUGGCCUCUACAGCAGUGCUUGGCCAGCCAUUCAGUUACGAAUUACUUAUUCAGCCACAUCCCAGGGAGAGAGCAGAACCACCCCUCAUUCAAUCCAUGGUCACUGAAGGUCUCACUGAGACUUGAUUCCCCAAGAGACAUGCAAUUCAAUUUACCACAGGUGGACUCUAAUCACGUUGUAGAAACAUCUCAAGGAUGAUCAAUGGAAACAGGAUCCACUUUAGCUCAAUUUCGAGUCUCAUAGC